GUGGUUUAAUUCGAAGCAACGCGAAGAACCUUACCAGGUCUUGACAUCUUUUGAUCACCUGAGAGAUCAGGUUUCCCCUUCGGGGGCAAAAUGACAGGUGGUGCAUGGUUGUCGUCAGCUCGUGUCGUGAGAUGUUGGGUUAAGUCCCGCAACGAGCGCAACCCUUAUGACUAGUUGCCAGCAUUUAGUUGGGCACUCUAGUAAGACUGCCGGUGACAAACCGGAGGAAGGUGGGGAUGACGUCAAAUCAUCAUGCCCCUUAUGACCUGGGCUACACACGUGCUACAAUGGAUGGUACAACGAGUUGCGAGACCGCGAGGUCAAGCUAAUCUCUUAAAGCCAUUCUCAGUUCGGACUGUAGGCUGCAACUCGCCUACACGAAGUCGG
rnacentral:rRNA from 1 species